UACGUAGGGGGCAAGCGUUGUCCGGAAUUAUUGGGCGUAAAGAGCGCGUAGGCGGUCCGGUAAGUCGGCUGUGAAAGUCAAGGGCUCAACCCUUGAAAGCCGGCCGAUACUGUCGGACUAGAGUCCGGAAGAGGCGAGUGGAAUUCCCGGUGUAGCGGUGAAAUGCGCAGAUAUCGGGAGGAACACCAAUGGCGAAGGCAGCUCGCUGGGACGGUACUGACGCUGAGGCGGCGAAAGCGUGGGAGCAAACAGGAUUAGAAACCGAGUA
rnacentral:rRNA from 1 species